rnacentral:lncRNA from 1 species
UUUGGGGAAUAGAAUGUUGUUACAGAUGAUUUAUUUUGAAAGCUGAUUUCAUUUUAGUGAAAACAAGCUCAAUCCAUUACACCAGAGGCCGUAGUGCCAAACACAAUCAUUUCUAGUUUGAAAGAUGUGAUUGCUUUUUAAUGUGGAAAUUUCACAAGGUUACAAAGAGGAAAAAAAAAACGAAACUCCUUUCAUGUAACAAAGUCACUUUGGGAUGUAGGUUACAAUGCCCUGACGGUGUCCAGAUACCCUGACCACAUCGCAAAUCAGAAAGGUGGAUCCGUUUGAUUUACACCAUUUCUCAAUUGUGUUUCUCUUAUGCCUCUGAAAUAGCCUAAGAGUUUCUUUACCAAAACAAAUAGAAAGUAAAGAUAAUCUAAAUACUGGAAGUUUGCAGGGUCAGGCAAGGAUAAGCGAGAUAGGGGAAACAAAUACAGAUAAAGAAACAUAGUGAACAGACCUGUGCUCAUACAAUAUGGCUGAGAUUAACGAAAUGAUGAUGGCUAGGUUUUGACUCUGCCAUCAUUUAUCAGACACUAUAAUUCUUUGUUACUCU